UGAACAAUUAGUAACUUAUACUAAAGUUUAGUCGCUAUUGACUAAAUUAUCCCUCUUCUCCCUCUAGAGGUUCCAAACCUCCCCCUGCAGUUCAAUUUAUUUUCACCUUGAGUAAUGCUAUUCAGCCUGGCUGGAGAAUCUAUGUGGCGUUAGGGAAUAAGCGAAAUGAAAAUUUGAAUUAAUUGUACUUAUCGUCUACUUACUCUUUCUCUUUCAGCUUUCCCCGUUCAAGCAACCAUUCAAUCAUUCAACAAUCGUUCAAUUACCUACCAAAAUUUUAUCGCACGGUGCUACUCUCUUCCGUCAUAAUCCGAGGCAUUCCGGAGUUAGGGUGAUGCUUGCAGAGGUCAUAACUAUAGUGGUUGAAGAAAAUGGGUCAAUUAUAUGAUUUCUAUGGGGCGCAAAGACCUAUUGUCUAUUGAAAGUCUGAUGGCCAGCCUCUGUUUUAUCUUUUGGUUGCAAUGUUCAUUCUGUAAAUGCACUAUCUAAACGUCGUUCAAGGACCCAGCUUGUAGCAGUCAGGUGUGGGUGUUUAAAGGUUUGGAAAAGGAAGAACAUAGCUUAUAUUAUCGUCCAUUGCCUCCAAUGGAUGACAGCGUAACAGAGGCUGCAAUGGAUCCUAUGGCUUCUGAUGUGAGAGAGAUCCUUGAACUCUCUCAAUGAGAAGGUAAAGCUAACGUGAAGAUUUUGUGUUGUUCAACAGGUUUCAGCAAAUCAUUGCUUAUCCAAUUAAUUGAGGUCGAAUGGCUUAAACAUUAUUUCUCAACAGUGAUGGCCAUGAAUUAUUCCCCCUUAAUGUCAUGCAUAUAUCAUCAUCAUCUCAGUUUUCCCCCAUCUGAGAUAAGAUGUAUAUAUUUUUGUGCGAAAUUGUGAAGUACUCCAUUGUUCCUGUGUAAAAGUUGCAAAAGUACGAAAUUUCUGGUACAAACUGAUUUA